rnacentral:tRNA from 1 species
GGGGAUGUAGCUCAGUGGCACAGCGCCUGCUUUGCAAGCACGAGGUCAUGAGUUCAACCCCC